rnacentral:lncRNA from 1 species
UGGAUGAUGAUGAUCCAAGUCUAUAUUCUUCAGCUGAAAUGUUUUCAUCUAGAUGCAUUUGGAAAUCCAAAGUUUUUAAUUUUAAGAGAGUAAUAUACAUAUAUACUAAAUAUUGCAUAAUGCCCUCAGUAGGUCUGUGACAGCACCCUAUUAUCAAACAUAUUAAUAUUUCUUCAGUGGGACAUUUGGAUAGUCAUUAGAAGUGAGAUAAAGCCCAUUAAGUAGCCUCAUGUCAGUUCCAGUCAGAUUUUCUGUUAGCUGGUAUAAAACAAAACAAAACAAAUCCAACAACCAACCAACCCUCCUAUAUUCAAAGCAUCUGGGUUUCAGAACUGCGCACGUGUCUGCUCAGUCAGGCCUUCAUCAUCCUUCUCCUUUGGCUUCUACCAUCUGUGCUCUCUUCAGGCUCUGAGGUUAAGUCCUGUUUUGAGUACGAAGUUCAGGAAUCAUAAGCCACAGGACUGCUGGGCGCCCUACCGCCCAGGCUCAAGGAUCCACAGAACCGAAGACCUCAGCAUUGAGGCUCCAUCGUCUAUCAAAAACAUUCUGCGGCAGAGUGGUCCACACUGCUGCCUGGUGGAUGGCGAGGUUCUCAUCCUCACAGGGGAUCAA